rnacentral:rRNA from 1 species
AGCGAACGCUGGCGGCAGGCCUAACACAUGCAAGUCGAACGAACCUUUCGGGGUUAGUGGCGGACGGGUGAGUAACACGUGGGAACGUGCCUUUAGGUUCGGAAUAACUCAGGGAAACUUGUGCUAAUACCGAAUGUGCCCUUCGGGGGAAAGAUUAAUCGCCUUUAGAGCGGCCCGCGUCUGAUUAGCUAGUUGGUUGAGGUAAUGGCUCACCAAGGCGACGAUCAGUAGCUGGUCUGAGAGGAUGAUCAGCCACAUUGGGACUGAGACACGGCCCAAACUCCUACGGGAGGCAGCAGUGGGGAAUCUUGCGCAAUGGGCGAAAGCCUGACGCAGCCAUGCCGCGUGAAUGAUGAAGGUCUUAGGAUUGUAAAAUUCUUUCACCGGGGACGACAAUGACGGUACCCGGAGAAGAAGCCCCGGCUAACUUCGUG